AGAGUUUGAUCCUGGCUCAGAUUGAACGCUAGCGGGAUGCUUUACACAUGCAAGUCGAACGGCAGCACGAGAGAGCUUGCUCUCUUGGUGGCGAGUGGCGGACGGGUGAGUAAUAUAUCGGAACGUGCCCAGUAGCGGGGGAUAACUACUCGAAAGAGUGGCUAAUACCGCAUACGCCCUACGGGGGAAAGGGGGGGAUCGCAAGACCUCUCACUAUUGGAGCGGCCGAUAUCGGAUUAGCUAGUUGGUGGGGUAAAGGCUCACCAAGGCAACGAUCCGUAGCUGGUUUGAGAGGACGACCAGCCACACUGGGACUGAGACACGGCCCAGACUCCUACGGGAGGCAGCAGUGGGGAAUUUUGGACAAUGGGGGAAACCCUGAUCCAGCCAUCCCGCGUGUAUGAUGAAGGCCUUCGGGUUGUAAAGUACUUUUGGCAGAGAAGAAAAGGCAUCCCCUAAUACGGGAUGCUGCUGACGGUAUCUGCAGAAUAAGCACCGGCUAACUACGUGCCAGCAGCCGCGGUAAUACGUAGGGUGCAAGCGUUAAUCGGAAUUACCGGGCGUAAAGCGUGUGUAGGCGGUUCGGAAAGAAAGAUGUGAAAUCCCAGGGCUCAACCUUGGAACUGCAUUUUUAACUGCCGAGCUAGAGUAUGUCAGAGGGGGGUAGAAUUCCACGUGUAGCAGUGAAAUGCGUAGAUAUGUGGAGGAAUACCGAUGGCGAAGGCAGCCCCCUGGGAUAAUACUGACGCUCAGACACGAAAGCGUGGGGAGCAAAAAGGAUUAGAUACCCUGGUAGUCCACGCCCUA
rnacentral:rRNA from 1 species